UACGUAGGGGGCUAGCGUUGUCCGGAUUUAUUGGGCGUAAAGAGCGUGUAGGCGGCCAGGUAGGUCCGGUGUGAAAACUCGAGGCUUAACCUCGAGAUGUCAUCGGAAACCAUCUGGCUAGAGUCCAGAAGAGGGAAGUGGAAUUCCCGGUGUAGUGGUGAAAUGCGUAGAUAUCGGGAGGAACACCAGUGGCGAAGGCGACUACCUGGCCUGUUCUUGACGCUGAGGCGCGAAAGCUAGGGGAGCAAACGGG
rnacentral:rRNA from 1 species